UCGGCGAAUGCCCGGUGGAACUACAUCCUGUCACGAUCGAGACGCGGGUUCGAAUCCCGCCGGUCCCAAAUCAGGGGGACCGUAGCUCAGCGGAUAGAGCGCGUGUGCUCGUUAAGUCGAGCACGAUGUUUCGCCAACUUUAGUCGCCGCCCC
rnacentral:Y_RNA from 1 species